rnacentral:rRNA from 1 species
CAGCGGAGGGAUCAUUACCGAGUUUACAACUCCCAAACCCCUGUGAACAUACCUAUACGUUGCCUCGGCGGAUCAGCCCGCGCCCCGUAAAACGGGACGGCCCGCCCGAGGACCCCUAAACUCUGUUUUUAGUGGAACUUCUGAGUAAAACAAACAAAUAAAUCAAAACUUUCAACAACGGAUCUCUUGGUUCUGGCAUCGAUGAAGAACGCAGCAAAAUGCGAUAAGUAAUGUGAAUUGCAGAAUUCAGUGAAUCAUCGAAUCUUUGAACGCACAUUGCGCCCGCCAGUAUUCUGGCGGGCAUGCCUGUUCGAGCGUCAUUUCAACCCUCAAGCUCAGCUUGGUGUUGGGACUCGCGGUAACCCGCGUUCCCCAAAUCGAUUGGCGGUCACGUCGAGCUUCCAUAGCGUAGUAAUCAUACACCUCGUUACUGGUAAUCGUCGCGGCCACGCCGUUAAACCCCAACUUCUGAAUGUUGACCUCGGAUCAGGUAGGAAUACCCGCUGAACUUAAGCAUAUCAAUAAGCGGGAGGAA